rnacentral:lncRNA from 1 species
AUUCUUUUUUUUUUUUUUCUUUCAGCCAUUUCUUUUUAUUUACAGUUUGUGUUCAAUGCAAAUCAAUUCCAUAAGAAGUUACUAUGAAUCAAAGCGUAAAUACACAAACACAAUAUACAAUCCAAAAUAGAUGUACAGCAUUCUGGAAUAAAGCAAAAGAGUGUUCAUUCACACACACAGUAGCUUCAAAACGGUUCGAUCUGUUUGUUCUCAUGUAGUUUUGUAAAGAUGGAAAAAAAGGACUUUGGUCAUCAAGACUACUGUGGCCAUAUUAGAUUACUGGAACAUCUAAGCAUCAGUGUGUGACCAUGCGAACAAAAGACUUCGGGGAGUGUCUAUUUUUAAAAAGGUUUCUGUGUUUCGAGGCAGUUGUAAAAGAUUUACUGCAGAAUCAAGCCCACUUUUAGGCUUAGGACCAGGUUCUAACUAUCUAAAAAUAUUGACUGAUAACAAAAAGUAUUCCAAAUGUGGCUAUUCUGAUCCAUAGUUGUUUUUUAAAGAAAAAAAAGUAUAUACAGAAAGAGUAUAAAAGUUUGUGAAUUUAAUGCAAAUUAGCUUCCAGUCUUCACUUCCCAAAUACUUGAUUUGUAGUUUUGACUCCUUUACAUUUUUGCCUUCUUAAUUUCAAGAUUUGCAAUUUUGCCUUCAAAACAGAUCUUUUUUUUUAAUUGUAAAAAGUAUUCAACAUAUGCAGAAAUAAAAAGCAUUUUGAUGGCUGGGCGCGGGGGCUCAAGCCUGAAAUGCCUACCAUUUGACUCAAUAUGGAUAAUCAAGAGUUGCUCAGGCUGCUUGGAUCUGGGGGUAGAUUCUCAUUCAUCAUUGCCCUGGCACAUGUCAAUUACUACAUAAAAGGUCAAACGCAAUGUCAAAUCCAAAGCCUCAGGAGGAAAGUGAGUUCAGUUCCCAAGAGAACAGCAAUAGCUCAACAAUGUAAAACUUCAUCUAGAGUAUAUCGGCAUUAAAUAAGUGCUGCCGAAACAAUACGUUGAGGAAUUACAGUAACACCUGGAAGUUCCUUCUCAUGUACAUAUAAAUAGAAUCAUGGAAGCUUUUUAUAUUACCUGUUUUAUGGCCUUAUAGAAUUAAUGAACCAAAUGAAAACUGAAUCUCCAUUCCACAAUCACAUCCUUUAUUUCUAUUCUUAUUUUCAAGGUAGUAUUAAGUGUCCAUAUUUCUCAAGCCACAUUCAAGGAAAUCAUGUCUUAACUAUUUUGGAUGUUGCCUCUCCUUCAUCUUGUACAUGAAACUCCAGCAGAUUUAAUAUUGGCAUCCAUCAUCUAGUCAAACCUCUCACAUGUUCUUCAAAUCAUUCCAGACGCCAUUUGGAUUGGGUUUAGAAGAUGGGGAAGUUUAGAAGACGUUUCUUGGCCUGA